CCUCCUUGGUUUUACUUUCGUAUUCUAUCCAGUGAAGUCCUGUCAAGGUUCUUUCUUACGAAAUUGCUUCCUUUUACCUUCCCUUGACACAAGCUGCGGAUUGUCAUUUUGCUGCUUAUUUUGCAUUCGAUCUUACAAGUCUCCUGUACCCUGCCAUAGAACCUCUCCUGUGUGCAACAUCUGGAAGCCUAGGAUUUAGAACAACUAUCAACAAUGGCUCAACCCCCUGCCCACGACAGAACGAGGAAGCCAGAGGAGGAAGAAGAGGAUGAUCCGGUCAUCACCAUGAUUGAAAAGACUGGCUGUCUCAAGCUUCAUUAUGCUGUGCAAGAGUGUAUGGCGGAGAAGCAGGACUGGCGACAGUGUCAACAGACGGUCACAGAAUUUCGGAAGUGUAUGGAAGCAGGAUUGAAAAAGAAGUUGAAAGGCUGAUUAAGUGACACUUGUGCAUUCAAAUUUUAAAAUUAAUGUUUUAAUCCACCAGUAUGACCUCUUUGCUGCAUUUAAAAGGAUCAGUGUCGUUUAAUCAGAAUGAGUGGCUUUAGGUUUAAUGUUGUUGUGUUGAAGUUAAAGAGUAGGAAUAAAUGUUGUGUCAAUGACAAAAUCACACAAACUAAAAAUGCUGCUAAGAGGUAUACCCAUUCCAUGGUUGGGGAUGAACUGUAGAUGAAUCACAACUGAAUUGAUGAUUGGAAGUUUCUUCAUGUACAAUUCAGAAAUGUAUUUCAGUUCAUGAAAAGACCUGUGCAGGGAAUGCUUCAGUCUACUUCAGAACUUCAUGUCUUUUGUGAUACGAAAAUAAAUGGUUUUUAAAUUUUUAA